rnacentral:rRNA from 1 species
UACGUAGGGUGCGAGCGUUAAUCGGAAUUACUGGGCGUAAAGCGUGCGCAGGCGGUCCGCAAAGUCUGAUGUGAAAGCCCCGGGGCUCAACCUGGGAACUGCAUUGGAAACUAACGGGCUCGAGUGUGGCAGAGGGGGGUGGGAAUUCCACGUGUAGCAGUGAAAUGCGUAGAGAUGUGGAGGAACACCGAUGGCGAAGGCAGCCCCCCUGGGCUAACACUGACGCUCAGGCACGAAAGCGUGGGGAGCAAACAGG